rnacentral:rRNA from 1 species
AGAGUUUGAUCCUGGCUCAGAAUGAACGCUGGCGGCGUGCUUUACACAUGCAAGUUGAGCGAGGCCGGGGAGCAAUCCCCGAGUCGAGCGGCGAACGGGUGAGUAACGCGUGGAUGACCUGCCCUUGAGUGGGGAAUAACCCGGGGAAACUCGGGCUAAUACCGCAUAAGACCGAGAGGUGAAAGCGGGGUCGCAAGAUCUCGUGCUCAUGGAGGGGUCCGCGUUCGAUUAGCUAGUUGGUGGGGUAAAGGCCUACCAAGGCGACGAUCCAUAGCUGGUCUGAGAGGAUGAUCAGCCACAUUGGGACUGAGACACGGCCCAAACUCCUACGGGAGGCAGCAGUGGGGAAUAUUGGACAAUGGGCGCAAGCCUGAUCCAGCCAUGCCGCGUGAGUGAUGAAGGCCCUAGGGUUGUAAAGCUCUUUCACCGGUGAAGAUAAUGACGGUAACCGGAGAAGAAGCCCCG